rnacentral:rRNA from 1 species
AUUGAACGCUGGCGGCAGGCUUAACACAUGCAAGUCGAGCGGGGUGAGGUGCUUCGGUACUGAUCCUAGCGGCGGACGGGUGAGUAAUGCUUAGGAAUCUGCCAUUUAGUGGGGGACAACAUUCCGAAAGGAAUGCUAAUACCGCAUACGUCCUCCGGGAGAAAGCAGGGGAUCUUCGGACCUUGCGCUAAAUGAUGAGCCUAAGUCGGAUUAGCUAGUUGGUGGGGUAAAGGCCUACCAAGGCGACGAUCUGUAGCGGGUCGGAGAGGAUGAUCCGCCACACUGGGACUGAGACACGGCCCAGACUCCUACGGGAGGCAGCAGUGGGGAAUAUUGGACAAUGGGCGGAAGCCUGAUCCAGCCAUGCCGCGUGUGUGAAGAAGGCCUUUUGGUUGUAAAGCACUUUAAGCGAGGAGGAGGCUACCUGGAUUAAUACUCUAGGAUAGUGGACGUUACUCGCAGAAUAAGCACCGGCUAACUUCGUGCCAGCCGCCGCAGUAACAC